GUCGGGGGUGGGAAGCUCAGACAUGGGGGAGAAGGAGGUUGGUCUUAACCUGAGAUAAAUGCCUUUGGGGUCCACAUACAUAAAUAAGAUAAACUGUUAAAACACAUGCCUGUCUUUCCCUCCAGGCAGUGGAGAAUUCCAAAGAUAACCCACUUUCCAGAUAUAAGCACUCACGAUGCACCAGGCCAAGCUCUUACCCACAUUUUCCUUUUUAUUCCUCACAACCACACCUUUUGAGGUUAUUUGCCCCAUUUUGCAAGCGAGGCAAAUGAGGCCCAGAGAGGGGAUGUCCCUUGUACUCCCGGGUACACGAGACAGGAGGUGACCUUGUCAGAAUUUAUGCUCAGAGCCUUUGUUUCAAACCAUGACGCCAUAUGGCCUCUGUUCAUUGCUACCUUAUGUCACCAUAAAAUGCUUUGUGACUCCUGUCAAACAAACUGGCUCAGGAGGGAUGAAUAUCUAUCAUGGAUCUCCACUCUCCCAUUCCCACAUUUAUAGAAGAGUUAGCCUGGUACCUCACUGCUCAGCCAAAGAUGACAAUUCCCAGCUGCCUUUCCAGCCAGGUGUGGCCAUGUGGAAUAUGAGUGGAGAUAAUGCAGGCAAUUUCCAAGUCAUGCCUUUAAUAAAGAAAAGUAGCACACCUCCCUUUCUCUCUCCCUACCAUGUUGAUAGCUAAAGCCAGAGCAGCCAUCUUGGACCAUGAGAUGGAGGACACAAUAUAAAAGAAGACUGGGGCUUCCCUGGUGGCUCAGUGGUUGAGAGUCCACCUGCUGAUGUAGGGGACGCGGGUUCGUGCCCCGGUCCGGGAGGAUCCCACAUGCCGCGGAGCGGCUGGGCUUGUGAGCCAUGGCCGCUGAGCCUGCGCGUCCGGAGCCUGUGCUCCGCAACGGGAAAGGCCACAGCAGUGAGAGGCCCGCAUACUGCAAAAAAAAACAAACCGAAUCCUCAACGCUGUGAAGCCGCCAUACUUAAUUCCAACCACUUAUGAAUACUUUUAUACAUGUAACCAAGAGAACAUUUUCCAUCUUGUUGAAACUAUGCUACUUUGUACCUUUUUGUUACAGCAGCCAAACUUGUGGCUUAAUAGCUGAGCCCCCAGAACACUGGAGCCUCUAACCUACUGCAUUUGAAGAGACCUGCUAUACUUGAGACAUUUAUGUGAGCAACAAACUAUCCUGCUUCCACCAGCUAUUUUGGUUUCUUUCACAGCUGUUGAACUAAUACACAAAGAGAAAAGAGAGAGCAAGCUUUCUCCAUUGUAAAAUGGGAACAACUUCACAUUUCUUGCAUAACUGCUCUGGAGAACAAGUGUGAUAAGAAAUAUUGUAUUAAGGUGACAUCAGCAAAAUGGUGGAGUCAGGAACCCCCAAAUUCCACCCCUCCAAACUGGCCAAAACUAUGAGUCAAGUCAUUGAGGGGAUUAUAACAAUCAUAAAUAUAUAUGCACCUAAUAGAGCUUCAAAACACAUGAAUCAAAAACUGUUAAAUUGGGAAUUCCCUGGCAGUCCAGUGGUUAGGACUCUGUGCUUUCACUGCUGAGGGCCCAGUUUCAAUCCCUGCUCAGGGAACUAAGAUCUGCAAGCCCCACAGUGUGGCCAAAAAGAAAAAAAAGACACUGACAGAAUUGAAGGGAGAAAUUGACAAUUUAACAGUAAUGGUUGGAGACUACAAUACCUCACUUUCAAGAAUGGAUUGAACAACUAGAUCAACAAGGAGAUAGAAGACUUGGACAACACUAUAAACCAACCAGACCUAACAGGCACCUACAGAACAUUCCACCCAACAAAAGAAUACACAUUCUUCUCAAGUGAAAUUGAACGUUGUUCAUAUGGUCGAGGACAGACCAUAUAUUAAGUGACAAAACAAGUCUCAAUAAAUUUAAAAGGAUUUGAAAACAAAGUGUGUUUUCUGACCUCAAUGACCUCAGUAGAAUGAAAUCAGGAAUCAAUAGCAGAAAGAAAUUUGAGAAACUCACAAAUAUAUGGAAAUUAAACAACACACUCAUAAACAGCCAAUGGGUAGAAGAAGAAAUCACAAGAGAAAUUAUACUUAGGAAUGAGGGAAAAUGAAAACAUAACAUACCAAAACUUGUGAGAUGCAGCAGAGGCAAUACUUUGAGGGAAAUUUAGAGCUGUAAACACCUACAUCAAAAAAGAACUUAAGGGCUUCCCUGGUGGUGCAGUGGUUGAGAGUCCGCCUGCCGAUGCAGGGGACACGGGUUCGUGCCCUGGUCCAGGAGGAUCCCACAUGCCGCGGAGCGGCUGGGCCCGUGAGCCAUGGCUGCUGAGCCUAUGCAUCCGGAGCCUGUGCUCCGCAACGGGAGAGGCCACAGCAGUGAGAGGCCCAUGUACCGCAAAAAUAAAAAAAAUAAAAGAACUUAAGAUCAGUAACCUAAUCUUCCACCUUAAGAAACUAGAAAAAGAAGGGACAACUUAACCCAAAGCUAGCAGAAUGAAGGAAAUAAUAAAGAUUAGAGUGGAAAAAAAUGAAAUAGAGAAUAGAAAAACAGUAGAGAAAAAUCAACAAAACCAGAAGUUGGUUUUUUGAAAAGGUCAACAAAAUUGACAAGUUUUAAGCUAGACUGACCAUGAAAAAGAGGAAGAAGGCUCAAAUUACUAAAAUCAGGAAGGAAAGAGGACAUUACUACCAAUCUUACGGAAAGAGAAAAGAUGAAAAGGGAACACUAUGAACAAUUGUAUGUCAUCAAAAAUUGUAUGUUUCAUCAAAAGAUGAAAAGGGAACACUAUGAACAAUUGUAUGUCAUCAAACUUGAUAAUCUAGAUGAAAUGGACAAAUUCCUAGCAAAACACUAACUCAAGAAGAGCUCGGACAUCUGGAUAGACCUGUAAUAAGUAAAGAGGUGAGUUAGUAAUUUUAAAACUUCCAAUAAAAAAAGCCCAGAUGGCUUCACUGCUGAAUUCUACCAAUCAUUUGAAAAAGAGUUGCUGCCAAUUCAUCUCAAACCCUUCACCAAAAAACAAACAAAACAAAACAAAAAAAAACCACCAGAAAACAAACAAAACAGAAGAGGAGGGAACUAACUCAUUCUAUGAGGCCAAUGUUACCCUGAUACCAAAACCAAAGACAUCACCAGAUAAUAAAACUACAGAUCCAUAUUCCUUCUGAAAGCAGCCACAAAAUUUUCAACAGAAUACUAGCAAACCAAGUCCAGCAGCGUAUAAAAAGGAUUAUACACCAUGCCAAGUAGGAUUUAUCCCAGGAAUGCAAAAUUGGUUCAACGUGAAAAUUAACCCAUGUAACAUUCUGUAUUAGUGAAAUAAUAGGGGGAAAAAAUACAAUCAUGUCAAUGAAUAGAGAAAUAGCAUUUGACAAAAUCCAAUGCCCUUUCAUGAUAAAAACACUCAACAAACUAGAAGCACAAGGGAACUUGCUCAUCCUGGUGAAGGGCACCUACAAAAAAGAAAAAAAUUUAAAACCAAUAAAACCCACACAAAACCAUGGUGGUUUAAAAUAUGCCCACAAAGUUUUUGAGGCUCUUUUAAAAUGUGCAGCCUUAUUCCUGUCACUUGAGUGUCAGCUGGACUUAGUGACUCAUACCUAGUAAAUAGAAUAAGGCAGAAGUGACGGUAUGUGACUUAAGAAAUGAGUUCGUAAGAGGAACCAUGUCUUCCUUCUUGCUCACUCUUACUCUGGAGAAUGAUAGUUGCCAUGUUCUAAGCAACUACCUAUGGAGAGGCCCGUGUGGCAAGGAACUGAGGCCUCCAACCAAGAGCCAUGUGAGUGCGCCAUCUUGGAAGCCCAACCUCCAGCUCCAAUCAAGCCUUCAGAUGACUGCAGCCCCUGCCAAAAUCUUGAGUACAACCUCAUGAGAGACCCUAAGCCAGAACCACCCAAUUAAGCCACUCCAGGAUCUGCGGGACGAUGAGGAUUGAAUACCAGCGCUGGAGGAUCUUACAUUCUACGGGGGGUUGGAAGGGGACAGGCAGGCAAUAGAAACAAACCAAAAAUACCAAAUGUCCGAACGUGAUAAAAAGGGAAUCAAAAGUGGGUGAUGGCCAUGUGGACAUUUGUCAAAGCUUGUCGAUUUGCGCACCUGGGAUCUGAGCCUCUUAUUGUGUGUGAAUUCUGCCUGUUAAAGGGUCUAAGCAAGCACUGAACUGUAGUUCAUUAUGUGCAUGUUGAAUAUUUGGAGUUGUGUUAGACCCCGGGACUGCUGUAACAAAGUCCUGCAGACUGAGCGUCUUAAACCAUAGAUAGUUAUUGUCUGAAAGUUCUGCAGGCCAGAAGUCCAAGGUCAAGGUGUCAGCAGGGUUGGUUCCUUCUGAGGCUGUGAGGGAGAAUCUGUGCCUCUCUCCUAGUAUCUGGUAUCCUUAGGUGUUCCUUGGUUUGUAGAUGGCCAUCUUCUCCCUGUGUCUUCACACUAUCUUCUCUGUGGAACUGUUUAUCUCUGUGUCCAAAUUUCCCCCCUUUUAAGAAACUGGACAUAUUGGAUGAGGGCCCACCCAAAUGACCAUGUCUUAACUUGAUCAUCUGCAAAGACCCUAUUUCCAAAUAAGGCCAAAUUCACAGCUACUGCGGGUUAGGACUUGAGUGUCUUUUGCAGGACGUAAUGCAACCCGUAACAGGGUUGAUGAGUACUGAUAUCUGCAACUUUGUUUUAUUCUGUUUUUUAAUUGUUUUUUUAUUGAAUAAAUUUGACUUUGUUGUUGUUGUUUUGUUUUGUUUUUUGCCACGCUGCACGGCUUGUGGGAUCUUAGUUCCCUGACCAGGGAUCAAACCUGGGCCAAGUCCUAAUCACUGGACUGCCAGGGAAUUCCCAGACAUAUAGUGUUUAUAAAUUUAAAGUGUGUCUUACUUUGAUACAUUUAUAUAUUAUAACAUGAUUGCCAUUGUAGCUAUAUUAUCACAUAAUUAUAGCACAAUAUUGUUAUCUAUAUUCACUAUACUGUGUAUUAGAUCUCUAUGGCUUAUUUACUAUUUGUUGCAAGUUUGUACCCUUAAACAACAUCAAUCGUAUCUCCCACACCCUAUCUGCUGGUAACCACCAUUUUAAUCUUUUUUUACAGGUUAGACUUUUUAAGAUUCCACGUAUAAGUGAAAUCAUACAGUACUUGUCUUUUCUGUCUGGUUUAUCUAGCUUAGCAUAAUGUGCUCAGGGUCUGUCCGCGUGGCUGAAAACAGCAGAGUAUCCUCUUUUCUCACGGCCAGAUAAUAUUCCAUUGUGUGUAUAUACCACCUGGUUGUUUCCAUAUCUUGGCUAUUGUGAAUAGUGCUAUUUGCAACUUACUUUGAAUGCAUUAAAAAUACAUGAUGGGAAAAAAAAAAUACAUGAUGGGGGCUUCCCUGGUGGCGCCGUGGUUGAGCGUCCGCCUGCCGAUGCAGGGGACGUGGGUUCGUGCCCCGGUCCGGGAGGAUCCCACAUGCCGCGGAGCGGCUGGGCCCGUGAGCCAUGGCCGCUGGGCCUGCGCGUCCGGAGCCUGUGCUCCGCAACAGGAGAGGCCACACAGUGAGAGGCCUGCGUACUGCAAAAAAAAAAAAAAAAAAAAAUACAUGAUGGAUUUGGACUUCCCUCGUGGCACAGUGGUUAAGAAUCUGCCUGCCAACGCAGGGGACAUGGGUUCAAGCCCUGGUUGGGAAGAUCCCACAUACUGCGGACAACUAAGCCCGUGCGCCACAACUACUGAGUCUGCUCGCCUAGAACCCGUGCUCCACAACAAGAGAAGCCACCGCAACGAGAAGCCCGUGCACGGCAACGAAGAGUAGCCCCCACUUGCCGCAACUAGAGAAAGCCCGCGCGCAGCAACGAAGACCCAACGCAGCCAUAAAUAAAUAAAUAAAUAAAAUUAAAAUAAAGAAAUAAAUUAGGAUAACUUGGGGAAAAAAAAAAAGACUCCUGCGCUCCCAGUGCAGGGGGCUUGGGUUCGAUCCCUGGUCAGGGAAAUAGAUCCUGCAUGCAUGCUGCAACUAAGAGUUCACGUGCCGCAACUAAGGAGCCGGCAAGCUGCAACUAAGGAGCCCGCCUGCUGCAACUGAGACCCGGCGCAAGCAAAUAAAAUAAAUAAAUUUUUUAAAAAUUAAAAAAAAAGGGGCUUCCCUGGUGGCGCAGUGGUUGAGAGUCCGCCUGCUGAUGCGGGGGACACGGGUUCGUGCCCCGGUCCGGGAAGAUCCCACAUGCCGCGGAGCGGCUGGGCCCGUAAUCCAUGGCCGCUAAGCCUGCGCAUCCGGAGCCUGUGCUCCGCAACAGGAGAGGCCACAACAGUGAGAGACCCGCGUACCGCAAAAAAAAAAAAAAUAAAUAAAAAUAAACAAAUAAAA